UGUCUCUAUGAUGACUGUAAUGAUGUUCCAGAUAUGGAUACAAGCAAAUUAGCUUAACUUUGUUCAAAACGUAAAGAUACAGUAUGCUAUAUUUGAGAAAUACACAUGGCAUCAUGGCACCACAUUUUAUGAUUCUCCAUUUCUGAAUUCUCCACCUCCUAAAUCACCUCUGGGACAAAGUGAGCCAUCUUCAAGCAAUAUAAAGCCUCCAGAGAUACUGAUGUGUCUUCACACAUGGUAGGAGUGCAUUUGCAGGUCUCUAUGUACGUGUAGUGAUGAAGGAUCUCGCUGCCAUUGGCACACUUCAGCAUCACAUCUUUACGGAUGAUACUCUCCUCCCGGCAGCAAGAACAGCUGUGCAUCAUGAUGUCAUUUUCCAUUGAAUACCUGUGCAGAUUUCCAAGAAAACACUGGUCAGAUGACUGUAGCACAGCUAAAUGUGUGUAAUGCUCUCACAUUGAUCCAUCGUCACAGUGGCCAGCGCAGGAAGUAACUUCUACAUCCUCAAUGGAAGUGCAUUCAUUGACAUGCAGACGGGUGACGUUCUUCGCACGAACACAGUUGCUGAGUUCACCUGAGAGAUGAUAG